GAGGCUGGGUGGAAAUGAUGCCUUCACAGAGCUGAGAGCACAAAAUGAAAUUGGUGAUUCAUGGGCAGCAGCCACUUGAAAAUAUGAACACUCCUGCGUCCCCAGCCCCGCCGGCCUUUCACACCCAUUUGGAGGCGUGUUGAGCAGAGCUGCUAGCCUGCUGCAUCCUAGUCUGCAUGUGUUUGGGCAGGAUGUGAGGACAGGCCGGUUCUACCCUGACAAGGACCCUGCAAAGGGCAGCAGCACCCCUGGCAGCACUCCAAGAACGUCUGCCCACCCCCUGAGAGGCCUCGGCUGGAACCCAGGGCAGGGCUGAGUAAGAGGUGAAGUGGCACAGUAACGCAUUCCAGGAGGACAUCGCUGAGGGCCCCAAUUGUGAGGACAUUGCCCAUCAAUCUUGGAGCCUCCACACCAAGCUGGGAUUCUCUCUCUUCUGGACUUCAUAGCCUUCUGAGACCGCACUGGGGAGAACAGUAAGAGAGCUUUGUAAGGCCACUCUGGCUCCUCACCCACCUUUUCUGGGCUCACUCUUCUGAAGCCAUAGCUGACCUAAGCGACCCACCUGGGCUUUUAAGGUGGGCUACAUUCCCCCAGGCCCAGGAACUACAAAUGGGAGGCCAGGAGUGCUAUAUGCCGCAGCCAGAGGCGUCUGUGCUCCAAAAAGUCUUCUGAGUGGGCUUCUCAGCAGUGGAUGGGAACGUAGGGCAGUCUUCC
rnacentral:lncRNA from 1 species